AGUGAACGCUGGCGGUAGGCCUAACACAUGCAAGUCGAACGGCAGCACAGUAAGAGCUUGCUCUUACGGGUGGCGAGUGGCGGACGGGUGAGGAAUACAUCGGAAUCUACUUUUUCGUGGGGGAUAACGUAGGGAAACUUACGCUAAUACCGCAUACGACCUACGGGUGAAAGCAGUGGAUCUUCGGACCUUGCGCGAUUGAAUGAGCCGAUGUCGGAUUAGCUAGUUGGCGGGGUAAGGGCCCACCAAGGCGACGAUCCGUAGCUGGUCUGAGAGGAUGAUCAGCCACACUGGAACUGAGACACGGUCCAGACUCCUACGGGAGGCAGCAGUGGGGAAUAUUGGACAAUGGGCGCAAGCCUGAUCCAGCCAUACCGCGUGGGUGAAGAAGGCCUUCGGGUUGUAAAGCCCUUUUGUUGGGAAAGAAAAGCAGCAGGUUAAUACCCCGCUGUUCUGACGGUACCCAAAGAAUAAGCACCGGCUAACUUCGUG
rnacentral:rRNA from 1 species